UCCUUUGUAGUAUAGUGGUAUGUAUACCCUCCUGUCACGUGGGUGACCCAGGUUCCAUCCCCAGCAACGGAG